rnacentral:rRNA from 1 species
UACGUAGGGGCAAGCGUUGUCCGGAAUCAUUGGGCGUAAAGAGCGCGUAUGGCGGCCAGAUAAGUCCGGUUGUGAAAGUCACAGGCUCAACCUGUGAAAGCCGCUGGAAACUGGUCUGGCUAGAGUCCGGGAGGGGCGAUGUGGAAGUUCCUGGUGUAGCGGUGAAAUGACGCAGAUAUCAGGAGGAACACCAAUGGCGAAGGCAGCUCGCUGGAACGGAACUGACGCUGAGGCGCGAAAGCGUGGGGAGCGGAACAGG